rnacentral:rRNA from 1 species
UACAGAGGUCCCAAGCGUUGUUCGGAUUCAUUGGGCGUAAAGGGUGCGUAGGCGGCGCGGUAAGUCGGGUGUGAAAUCUCGGGGCUUAACUCCGAAACUGCAUUCGAUACUGCCGUGCUUGAGGACUGGAGAGGAGACUGGAAUUUACGGUGUAGCGGUGAAAUGCGUAGAUAUCGUAAGGAAGACCAGUGGCGAAGGCGGGUCUCUGGACAGUUCC